rnacentral:rRNA from 1 species
GGAUUGCCUUAGUAACUGCGAGUGAAGCGGCAAAAGCUCAAAUUUGAAAUCGGUGUCCUCUUCGGCGACCGAGUUGUAAUUUGGAGGGAUAACUUCGGGACGGACGACGUCGUAAGUUCCUUGGAACAGGACGUCAUAGAGGGUGAGAAUCCCGUGCCUUGGUGGCUGGCCGAGCCAUGUGAAGUGUCUCCGACGAGUCGAGUUGUUUGGGAAUGCAGCUCAAAAUGGGUGGUAAAUUUCAUCUAAAGCUAAAUAUUGGCGAGAGACCGAUAGCGCACAAGUAGAGUGAUCGAAAGAUGAAAAGCACUUUGAAAAGAGAGUUAAAAAGUACGUGAAAUUGUUGAAAGGGAAGCGCUUGCGACCAGACUCGAUCUUUGGUGAUCAGCCGGGCUUCGGUCCGGUGCCCUCACCAUUGAUUGGGCCAGCAUCGGUUCUGACGGCGGGAUAAAAGGAGGAGGAAUGUGGCUCCCUUCGGGGAGUGUUAUAGCCUCCUUCACAAUGCCGCCAGUUGGGACCGAGGACCGCGCUUCGGCUAGGAUGCUGGCGUAAUGGUCUUAAGCGACCCGUCUUGAAACACGGACCAAGGAGUCUAACAUCUAUGCGAGUGUUCGGGUGGAAAACCCUUGCGCGUAAUGAAAGUGAACGGAGGUGUGAACCCUUUACGGGGUGCAACAUCGACCGGUCCUGAUGUCUUCGGAAGGAUCUGAGUAAGAGCAUAGCUGUUGGGACCCGAAAGAUGGUGAACUAUGCCUGAAUAGGGUGAAGCCAGAGGAAACUCUGGUGGAGGCUCGCAGCGGUUCUGACGUU